AUUAAACGCUGGCGGCAUGCCUUACACAUGCAAGUCGAACGGUAGCGCGGGGCAACCUGGCGACGAGUGGCGAACGGGUGAGUAAAGCAUCGGAACGUGCCCUGGAAUGGGGGAUAACGUAGCGAAAGUUACGCUAAUACCGCAUAUUCUGUGAGCAGGAAAGCAGGGGAUCGCAAGACCUUGCGUUCUGGGAGCGGCCGAUGUCGGAUUAGCUAGUUGGUGGGGUAAAAGCCUACCAAGGCGACGAUCCGUAGCGGGUCUGAGAGGAUGAUCCGCCACACUGGGACUGAGACACGGCCCAGACUCCUACGGGAGGCAGCAGUGGGGAAUCUUGCGCAAUGGGCGAAAGCCUGACGCAGCAACGCCGCGUGGGGGAUGAAGGCUCUCGGGUUGUAAACCCCUUUCAGCAGGGACGAAUCAAGACGGUACCUGCAGAAGAAGCCCCGGCUAACUACGUGCCAGCAGCCGCGGUAAU
rnacentral:rRNA from 1 species